rnacentral:lncRNA from 1 species
UGACACUGUGCUAGAUGGAUUUCAGUUGUCCUUCCAGAUCUGCUCUCCACUUCUCCACACUGGCCAGCACCCUUCAUGUGCUGCUCACAAAGCCGAGAGCCACAGAGGAGCACACGGGCUCAGUUAGAUCAGCUUUUGUCUGGAAAGGAGCCUUGCAGGGCUUGGCUUUGUAUCCUGUUGGGAUGAUCAUCUCUCCAGUGUGAUGACUAAGGGUUGUGUCCAGUUAGUGCACUAGCAACUGAAGUUAGGAAGGCUCGGGUGGACGCUGCCAACCAGCAAUCCAAUCUGCCUGAUGGCCAACCCUUUGACUGCUGGGAGCCUGGAGCUUUCUGAAUCAGACAACUUCCAGACUUCACAUGUGCUGCCAAGCACAAGAUAUAUUCUGGAAAAGAAGAGGAGGAGGAAGAAGAAUGACUGUAAAGGAAGGAGCAGUACUGUUUUCAUGAGGACCUACUAUGUGCCAGACAUUAUUCUAGGUGCUGGGGCUACCAUGGGAAACUUGCAGCUACUUGGGAGGCUAAGGUGGGAAGAUCGCUUGAGCCCAGGAGGUCGAGGCUGCGGUGAACCAAGAUUGUGACACUGCACUCCAGCCUGGGCAACAGAUGCUGUGUGAAGAUGAAGGCAGAGAUCAGGCUGAUGCUUAUGGAAAGCCAGAGAUUGCCAACAAACCACCAAAAGCUAGGAGAGAGGCCUGGAACAGAUUCUCUCUGAGUCCUCAGAAGGAACCAACCCUGCCAACACUGUGAUCUUGGACUUCUAAACCCCAGAACUGUGAAAUAAUAAAUGUCUGAUGUC